AUUGAACGCUGGCGGCAGGCCUAACACAUGCAAGUCGAGCGAGCGGCGGACGGGUGAGUAAUGUAUGGGGACUGCCCGAUAGAGGGGGAUAACUACUGGAAACGGUAGCUAAUACCGCAUACUAUCGGAUAACCCAUAUGGGAUUAGCUAGUAGGUGAGGUAAUGGCUCACCUAGGCGACGAUGCCUAGCCGGCCUGAGAGGAUGAUCCGCCACACUGGGACUGAGACACGGCCCAGACUCCUACGGAGGCAGCAGUGGGGAAUAUUGGACAAUGGGCGAAAGCCUGACCGAGCAACGCCGCGUGUAUGAAGAAGGUCUUAGGGUUGUAAAGUACUGUUAGUAGGGAGGCGGUAUCGACAGAAGAAGCCACGGCUAACUCCGUGCCAGCAGCCGCGGUAAUUC
rnacentral:rRNA from 1 species